CCUACGGGUGGCAGCAGUGAGGAAUAUUGGUCAAUGGGCGCGAGCCUGCACCAGCCAAGUCGCGUGAGGGAAGACGGUCCUAUGGAUUGUAAACCUCUUUUGUCGGGGAGCAAAAGACGCCACGCGUGGCGUUCCGAGAGUACCCGAAGAAAAAGCAUCGGCUAACUCCGUGCCAGCAGCCGCGGUAAUACGGAGGAUGCGAGCGUUAUCCGGAUUUAUUGGGUUUAAAGGGUGCGCAGGCGGAAGAUCAAUUCAGCGGUAAAAGUGAGAGGCUCAACCUCUUCGAGCAGUUGAAACUGGUUGUCUGGAGUGAAGGAGAAGUAUGAGGAAUGCGUGGUGUAGCGGUGAAAUGCAUAGAUAUGACGCAGAACUCCGAUUGCGAAGGCAGCAUACCGGCGCUCAACUGACGCUCAUGCACGAAAGUGUGGGGAUCGAACAGGAUUAGAUACCCUUGUAGUC
rnacentral:rRNA from 1 species